UACGUAGGGGGCAAGCGUUGUCCGGAAUCAUUGGGCGUAAAGAGCGUGUAGGCGGCCAGGUAGGUCUGCUGUGAAAACUCGAGGCUUAACCUCGAGCUGUCGGCGGAAACCAUCUGGCUAGAGUCCGGAAGAGGAGAGUGGAAUUCCUGGUGUAGCGGUGAAAUGCGCAGAUAUCAGGAAGAACACCGAUGGCGAAGGCAGCCCCCUGGGUCGACACUGACGCUCAUGCACGAAAGCGUGGGGAGCAAACAGG
rnacentral:rRNA from 1 species